UUUAAGUGCAACCAUAAGUUUCCGCGUCUAACUUUGACCGUCCGUAUUAUUUAAAACUUUUUUAGAAUUAGUAUUAUUAUUAUUAUGAGAUGAUAAAACACGAAUAUUACUUUAUACGUAACUUAUGUUUUUAAAUUUUUUCAAAAAAAUUUCAAAUAAAAAAAGACUGUCAAAGUUGUGCAUGGAAAAUCAUGUCUGCACUUAAA
rfam:Oryza nivara chromosome 9, whole genome shotgun sequence.